CAAAAAGCUGUGUUGGGGCCAAGCCUCUGUGUGGGCAGGGCGACUUCUGGCUUGGCUCCUUUUGUGUUUGUCACAAAAUGAUUUCAUAAACGAGUUUAAGGAAAACCCCAAAACAAAGGAGAAAAACCUCUUUGGCAAAACGACAGUGGGGAUGGAGCUAUCUUGCUCCAGGACAACUUCUUAUGAGGAUUCUGUGUGGCUGUUCCGAGUGCUUCACUGCUUCCCAGCUGAGGGACUGCUGCCAAGUUCUCAACUUCUAUGUCCCUCCUCUCCUCACCUGCACCUGCCCUGUAGGGUAAUUAUAAGGCUUCAGCGAGCUACGUCCUGGAGGUGCUCCCUGAAUGUUACCUGUGAGGAGGAGCAGUGGAGCAGGGGAAUGCAGAGGAAGAAGAGAUGGGGUUGGAGCCAGGACUUCAUGCAGAAGUGAAGAGCCUGGUGCUCAGCAGAGGGAGUGGCCUGCUUUCGGUCACACAGGAGCGGUGGAUCCCGCAGCUCAAAUUUGUCUUGUAUCACUGAACUCCACAAUGGACAGCCAUUCAUUCCUUACAGAGCCUUAAGACGGCUUAUGAACACUACAAGAAAGCACCCCAGGAGAGACCUCUCUCUGGGGGAGGAACAGUGAACCUGGCUUGCCUGCCUCGGAAAGAAACCCUGAAGGACGUUUUCCUUGUUAAGAUUGCUCUUGUUAAAAAGCUGUGCAGUCCUAAAAUGUUAUUGAACAAUAGCUUUUCACACAAAGGCUGUGUAGCCAACAGUCCCCUCUAACCUGCUGCAACUCCUUGGCUUCCAUCUCCUGCAGAGGCUGCAGGGCAGGAGCCCAGGGCUCUACUGUGGCCUCCUCGGCCUCACCAUCCUCACCAGCUUGGCUUCCAUUCCUUCUGAACAGUCUUCUCCCCUGGGUACUUCUAUUUCCCUGUCUGUUGGGAGGGCUAUAGGAAAAGUGACUUGUAAAACUUUUAGUUAAGACAUCUCUUUAGUGCCAAUUGUUUGUUGGUGCUGUGAUUGUCGAGUUUUGUCUAAAUUUUGUCUAAAGUUAGAUACUUUACUUGGGAACAUUGUCUGAUAUCUACAUCAGAAAAAGAUCCGCACAGGUUAUUUGCAAUCCACUCAAACCAAGAAAUUACCUGGAUAUAGUUGGUGACAAAAGUGAUAGUUGGUAUCAAGGAAUGGGGUUGUCAAAAUGUAUAGUGAAUGUGAAUCUUGCUGUUUGUGUUUUAACUUAUGGAAAUAAAUUUCCCCAAAACUUCUUGGGCUGCUCUUUAUCCCACUAGAUUGUGGGAUGUACAGCCAGGAGAUCACAGACUCUCAGGAUGCCUGGCAGCAAGUGGGGGGCCAGAAUUUCUGGCGGUGGAA
rnacentral:lncRNA from 10 species